GCUCCCUCGCUCGCCCCCCGUCUCUCCCCGUUAGGCCCGAAGUCGCGCGGCGAAGGAGCGUGACAAAAUCUGAGGGGCGCAACGGUGACAGGGUUACGAGCGGGAAACGUCCCUCCCGAAGCUCACCCGGGUGUCCCGGCCUCACCCCACGGCGGGGUGUCCCGGCAGGCGGGGGUCCCGGCGGCGUUAGGGGGCGGCACGGGAGCGGCGCGGGUCGGUAAAACUGUGCUGCGCGGGGUACCUGAAGUCAUUUUUUACGUAUGAACAGACACGCACAUACGUGGGUAACACGGACUGGGACUUACCGUUUUGCACCCCAAGGAGGCAGGGCCUUGCGGGCAGCGCGAUACGUUUCUGCACUUCGAAGAAGGCCCAAAAUUGAAAACGCAACCUUCUGACCAUUCAAUAGAUUUCCUGGGUGAUUCAGUGCGAAUUAGUUAAUUCAUCUUUGAUCUGCUUAUUACAAACCGCUGCAUGAAGUCAUUAACGGUUCUUACUUGUAAAAAGAUAAUAAUAAAGUGCCCAAAGUGUUGCAAUGAC